rnacentral:lncRNA from 13 species
AGGCAGAAAAUAGACCUUGAAGAAAUCCAAGCUUUAUGAGUGGUCUGUGAGGCGUGUGUUAAGAGGGAAGUAUUCUACAAGGCCACUUCAUAGAGACCCAGGGAGACAUCUGUCAAUCAGUCAGUCAGGACUACAGAGACACAGAGGGUGACAGACCAGACUACCAGACCCAGGAUCAGCACACGCCCAGUCCAGCCUAGACCAGAGAGGACUCGGACAUCCUAACUCCCUGGAG